rnacentral:lncRNA from 1 species
AAAGAUCCAAUUGCAUAUGAUUUUUUUCUACGCUUCCUUUCUUUCUAACCUCUGAGUCAUACUUUGCAACUUCUAUCUAGUUUACUAGUUUCAAUGUUGAGAAUUAUUUAAUUUUUACACUUUGCACAAGGUUGUUGCAGGUCUUUCCCCAAUUAAAAAGCCAAAUAGGUAAAAUGAUUGUGAUUAAGAAUUAAUUAAGGAUUAUUAACUAGUAAAUAGACAACAGAAAAAUC